CACAAGCACCAGGGGCACCAAACAAGUAUGAAAAGAGACAGGCUAGAAUCUUGCAACUAUCAGAUGUAGAAAGAUGCUAUUGACACAAAUGUUAGGACCCACGCUCGACUGCAGGAGGUGGACCGUGACGGAGGUAUGCAGUGAGAGCGGCAGGACCCAGAGGAAGGAAGGAGGGAGCUGCUCUUGAAAAGAGACCAAACCACCGAUGAAAGGACGAGGUGGUGCCUUUCAUCAGUGUGGAAUCUGAAUAUAGCAGAGCAGUUCUGGAGAGAAUGAUGAGUUCAGUUUGGACGUGUUGAGUUUGAGAUGCAUGUGGACAUCCAGGUGGCGAGCUCUAGUGGCAGACGAGAAAAGCUGGAGGUGGGUGCUGGAGGCGUAAUCUGGGCCGUGGGGUAUUUACUACCAACUGGUGAUGCCUUCCCCCCAUCCACUUCAUCCCAGUCUUCCUGAUGCCUGGAUAGAAGAGUGUUGCAACAUCCCGAGGUGAUUUAUAGGGAAAACGUCUUGCACUGCCUUCCAAGUGGGAAUCUAAAACCCCACAUUCUGAUCCUAAGUGUAAUUUCCAGUCAUUUCCACCGACAACAUUUGGUUCUUAUUAUCAAAAGAUACUCACACAGAUGUAGCAUUAAAAAUCUUGGCUUCGAUGGAUAAAGAAAACAAGAUAAUCUAAAGUACUGCAGCAACUCUCAGACAUUUACGAUUCCAAGAAAUGGUUGUUGGAUAACUGCUCUAGAAUAUCCAUUUUCCAGUGUGUUUCUGGGUGGAAGAAAGCCAGCCCUUUGGUAAAUUUCAGGCCGUUCAUCUGAACCUUCAAUCAGGAAUGUCCUAGGGCCUUAGAUGGUGAAUUAGGCAUGGGCAUUUCCCCUUGAUGUCUCCAGACCUGACACACAUCCAGGCACACAGACAAUGCUCACUAAGGGUUUGCUGACUGAAAAAAGAAACAGCUGAAUACCUUAAGUCAGGACAUGCUAGGUUUUCUCAUUUGACAUUUCCUUUCAAAGGUUCCGAGGGCUUAAAUUACAGGGAAAGGAAGCUUCUGUAAGUCAGAAAUGGAAACAUAUUU